UGGACCAAAAACGUAGAUCCAGUUACUUUUCACCCACGGAAUUGGAAAUAUUAAUGCACGCAUAUGCCGAGCAGGUACCCAUUUUCACCAAAAAAAGUAAUACCGCCGCGGCAGCGAGAGCGCGAGAGAGAGCUUGGCAGGAAAUAGCCGAACAAGUCAAUGCGAACAACCCGAGUUGCCCCAAGAGGACUUGGCAGCAAAUGAAAAUGAAGUACAAAAAUAUAGUUCAAACAGCAAAUCGAAAAAAAGCAGAGGCCCGGAAGACUGGAGGGGGUCCACCACCUGCAGCCCUCACAGAGGCUGAGGAGAUGGCCCUCAGCCAACAGAGUAUGCGUCCUGUGGCUGAGGGCAUCCCUGGAGGGAGC